rnacentral:misc_RNA from 1 species
GACGAACCGGACAAACGUUAUUCGGAAUUAUUGGGCUUAAAGGGUGCGUAGGCGGUGCUGUAAGUCGGGUGUGAAAUACCUCAGCUCAACUGAGGAAUUGCGCACGAUACUGCAGUGCUUGAGGGAGACAGGGGUAAGCGGAACUGAUGGUGGAGCGGUGAAAUGCGUUGAUAUCAUCAGGAACACCAGUGGCGAAAGCGGCUUACUGGGUCUCUUCUGACGCUGAGGUACGAAAGCUAGGGUAGCGAACGGG